UAUAAUAUAUUUUACCUCUUUUCAAUAUUUUUUUUAAAUACAUGCUAAAUUUAUAAGAAAAAAACAAUUAUUCUAUGUAAUCAUACAAAUCUAAAGUCGCUAAAAACAAAAAGAAUGAACCCGCAAACAAACACAACAAACUCACAACAUCCAUGUUAAUAACAUAAAACAGAAAAGUAUUUAUGCCUACAAAUACAACUAUAUUCAAUUAUCUGGAAUACUCAUGUCUUCUGAUCUGUAACGUUGGCGACUCCAAAGUCAUUGAUCGGAUCUGCACUUGCUUAAAGUUAAUCUUCAAUCCUAAAUAAAAUAAACACCGCACUAAGACGUGAAAUAAAAAACACACCGGACAAAGGCGAGAAAUCAAAACAAACACAGUUGUGCAGAGACAACGAAACCAUAAAAAUAAAUGAAAGAAAACUGAAAAUAUGUGGAAAUCACUUAUUCAAUUAGGAUAGAAGGAAAAACAAUUCGAAAGGGUGAUUUUGGGUCAAAAUUAACCCUAAAUCACCCUUGUUCGGUAGACAAGAAGAAGAAAGGGGCUACGCUACGGUUUGAGAAGGAAAGAAGAGAGAGAAAAAUAGAGAUAUGCAAGGAAGUUUUUGUGUUUGUCAUAAAAAUUGAAAUGCUAGAGAAACAUAAAUCAAAUUUUAAAGUAAAUUAUAAAAAUGCAAACAUUAUGACAUACAAAUAAAAUUGUAUGUUUAGAGGUAAGAUAAUGAUUUUUAAACUUAAUUCUUACUCCAUCACGAGCUCGCAUAAUUUAUUAAUGCACUUCAUAACCAAGGCUAACUCUUCUGGACAAUCAGCAUCAGAAACGCAGGGAAUGAGACCUAUGUUGUAAUAUAGGAAAGUUACUAAAAGAUGAUAUAACAUUGUGUAUAAGAUAAAUUAGAAAAUUGGAAUGUGGUGUGAAAAGAGACAUACCACCAUUGGUUACAAUAAUAAAUAUGGAAAGAAAGAUGAUCAAAUCAUAAAUAA
rnacentral:lncRNA from 1 species